GUAAUAGAUAGAGGAUAAUAGAUAGAGGGUAAUAGAUAGAGGGUAAUAGAUAGAGGGUAAUAGAUAGAGGGUAAUAGAGGGUAAUAGAUAGAGGGUAAUAGAUAGAGGGUAAUAGAUAGAGUAUAAUAGAGGGUAACAGAUAGAGGGUAAUAGAUAGAGUGUAACAGAUAGAGGGUAAUAGAUAGAGGAUAAUAGAUUGAGGGUAACAGAUAGAGGCUAAUAGAGGUAACAGAUAGAGGGUAAUAGAUAGAGAUUAAUAGAUAGAGGAUAAUAGAUAGAGGAUAAUAGAUAGAGGAUAAUAGAUAGAG
ensembl:lncRNA